UUGACAGAGGGCUGUUCACAGAAGAGGGCAGGAGUAACCAAGGAGAACCAAAUUCUAGCCGGUGGGAGAGGUGGGGGAUUGCAAAAGUCCUUGGAGCCCGGCCAGGACGUGGGUUAGAGGUUAGAAGUGCCAUGGGUGCUCUUGUUCUGACAGCAGAGUGACGCCUGAGGUGUCAUGCCCUCCCGCAGGGCUCACAGCUUCCCGGAAUCUGAGCAGCAGCUGAGCAGCUGGGUACACAAACAUCUCCCAUCCAGCCCCAUGAGUUCCCAGGCCCGUCCCCCUUUGCCAUCUCGCCACAUUCCAACUACACAGAUAAAGAGCCAUCCCUUUGGGAAGAGACCCAGUCAGGUCCCUGUCUGACCCAGAAGGCUCGAAGAAUGGAUGUAGCCAAAUCCAACAGAGAGGAGCAUGACCUUCACUGGAAACCACACAUGCUGGAAAAGAAAAAGCCCGUGUCCCAGCUUUGUGCUUUGAGUCCUGUUCAAUAAAUAAUAACAGAGUAUGCUGGAA